rfam:Blumeria graminis f. sp. hordei DH14, WGS project CATH01000000 data, contig: 007534
CUAGACAAUAGUUCAUAGAAUCAUUUCUAUAGUAAACGUCUUCUUCUGAGCUUCUCAAAAAAGCCACAGAACUCCAAUCUCGAAGAUGAUCUGAUCCUCGAUUGCUUUUAGUGAAGCCGUAUUCUUCGAACUGUCUGAAAAGGCGGCGGUUCUGUGCCAGCACAGAACUGUACAGAGGAAGGUGAUGAUCUAUGCCUUCACAGUUCAGCUUUCGGGAUGAAUUGUGAAGACGGCAAACGGUGGAUGUCUGAGAGAC